UACGUAGGUGGCGAGCGUUAUCCGGAUUUACUGGGUGUAAAGGGCGUGUAGGCGGAUUGGUAAGUUGGAAGUGAAAUACCGCAGCUUAACUGCGGGGCUGCUUUCAAAACUACCAACCUUGAGUGUCGGAGAGGGAAGCGGAAUUCCUAGUGUAGCGGUGAAAUGCGUAGAUAUUAGGAGGAACACCAGUGGCGAAGGCUGCUUUCUUGCCGACAACUGACGCUGAGGCGCGAAAGCGUGGGGAGCAAACAGGAUUAGAUACUCCGGUAGUCCCUGA
rnacentral:rRNA from 1 species